UACAGAGGGUGCAAGCGUUAAUCGGAGUUACUGGGCGUAAAGGGCGCGUAGGCGGUUAUUUAAGUUAGAUGUGAAAUCCCUGGGCUUAACCUAGGAAUGGCAUCUGAUACUGGAUAGCUGGAGUAUUGUAGAGGGUAGUGGAAUUUCCGGUGUAGCGGUGAAAUGCGUAGAUAUGCGGAGGAACACCGAUGGCGAAGGCAAUCCCCUGGGCCUGCACUGACGCUCAUGCACGAAAGCGUGGGGAGCAAACAGG
rnacentral:rRNA from 1 species